rnacentral:tRNA from 1 species
GUUCUAGUAGCUAACAGCACAAAGCACUGGUCUUGUAAACCAAAGACGGGACACAUCUCCCCUAGAACA